rnacentral:rRNA from 1 species
GAUGAACGCUGGCGGCGUGCCUAAUACAUGCAAGUCGAGCGAACGGACGAGAAGCUUGCUUCUCUGAUGUUAGCGGCGGACGGGUGAGUAACACGUGGAUAACCUACCUAUAAGACUGGGAUAACUUCGGGAAACCGGAGCUAAUACCGGAUAAUAUUUUGAACCGCAUGGUUCAAAAGUGAAAGACGGUCUUGCUGUCACUUAUAGAUGGAUCCGCGCUGCAUUAGCUAGUUGGUAAGGUAACGGCUUACCAAGGCAACGAUGCAUAGCCGACCUGAGAGGGUGAAUCGGCACCCCGGGAACUAGACACGGUCCCGACUCCUACGGGAGGCAGCAGUAGGGGAACUUCCGGAAUGGGCGAAAGCCUGACGGAGCCAAGCCGGGUGAGUGAUGAAGGUCUUCCGAUCGUAAAACUCUGUUAUUAGGGAAGAACAUAUGUGUAAGUAACUGUGCACAUCUUGACGGUACCUAAUCAGAAAGCCACGGCUAACUACGUG